UACGAAGGGGGCUAGCGUUGUUCGGAAUUAUUGGGCGUAAAGAGCUCGUAGGCGGUUCGUCGCGUCGGCUGUGAAACCCGGAGCUCAACUCCGGAUCUGCGGUGGGUACGGGCAGACUAGAGUGAUGUAGGGGAGACGUGGAAUUCCUGGUGUAGCGGUGAAAUGCGCAGAUAUCAGGAGGAACACCGGUGGCGAAGGCGGGUCUCUGGGCCGAUAUUGACGCUGAGGAGCGAAAGCGUGGGGAGCGAACAGG
rnacentral:rRNA from 1 species